rnacentral:rRNA from 1 species
CCUACGGGAGGCAGCAGUGAGGAAUAUUGGUCAAUGGACGAGAGUCUGAACCAGCCAAGUAGCGUGAAGGAUGACUGCCCUACGGGUUGUAAACUUCUUUUAUAUGGGAAUAAAAUGUUCCACGUGUGGGACCUCUUAUGUACCACAUGAAAAAGGAUAGGCUAACUCCGUGCCAGCAGCCGCGGUAAUACGGAGGAUCCGAGCGUUAUCCGGAUUUAUUGGGUUUAAAGGGAGCGUAGGUGGAUUGUUAAGUCAGGUGUGAAAGUUGGCGGGUCAAACGUAAAAUUGCAGUUGAAACUGGCAGUCUUGAGUACAGGAGAGGUGGGCGGAAUUCGUGGUGUAGCGGUGAAAUGCUUAGAUAUCACGAAGAACUCCGAUUGCGAAGGCAGCACACUGGACUGCAACUGACACUGAGGCUCGAAAGUGUGGGUAUCAAACAGGAUUAGAUACCCGUGUAGUC